rnacentral:rRNA from 1 species
UACGUAGGGGGCUAGCGUUGUCCGGAUUUAUUGGGCGUAAAGAGCGUGUAGGCGGCCAGGUAGGUCUGGUGUGAAAACUCGAGGCUUAACCUCGAGAUGUCAUCGGAAACCAUUUGGCUAGAGUCCGGAAGAGGAGAGUGGAAUUCCUGGUGUAGCGGUGAAAUGCGCAGAUAUCAGGAAGAACACCAAUGGCGAAAGCAGCUCUCUGGGACGUUACUGACGCUGAGACGCGAAAGCGUGGGGAGCAAACAGG